rnacentral:rRNA from 1 species
GAUGAACGCUAGCGGCAGGCCUAAUACAUGCAAGUCGAACGGUGUCUUCGGACAUAGUGGCGCACGGGUGCGUAACACGUAUGCAACCUACCUUACAUUGGGGGAUAGCCUCUCGAAAGGGAGAUUAAUACCGCAUAAGACAGUAGCUGGGCAUCCAGCAGCUGUUAAAGAUUUAUCGAUGUAAGCUGGGCAUGCGUCCAAUUAGCUAGUUGGUGAGGUAACGGCUCACCAAGGCAAUGAUUGGUAGGGGAACUGAGAGGUCAAUCCCCCACACUGGAACUGAGAGACGGGCCAGACUCCUACGGGAGGCAGCAGUAGGGAAUAUUGGGCAAUGGACGCAAGUCUGACCCAGCCAUGCCGCGUGCAGGAUGAAGGCGUUAUGCGUUGUAAACUGCUUUUAUACAGGAAGAAACGACUCUUGCGAGAGGCAUUGACGGUACUGUAUGAAUAAGCACCGGCUAACUCCGUGCCAGCAGCCGCCGUAACAC